CUCUCUCUAGCACAACUCUCUGUCUCUCUCUCCAGAUCAAUCAGAAUUCGGAUCAACCCCUCAUUGUCCGUCUCUUUCCACAAAACCACUCUCUAUUCGUGAAACCAGCCGCGAAUCUCACAGAAGUUUCCUUCUUCAGCUCAAAAAGCAUACGCCAUGAUUUGAAUCACCAGGAAUUAAUCGGACCCCCCCAACCAGAAUGGCGUGGUUCAGUGGGAAAGUCUCUUUGGGGAACUUCCCCGAUCUCGCCGGGGCCGUGAAUAAGCUCCAGGAGAGUGUCAAGAACAUCGAGAAGAACAAGCUGAUGAUAAUGAAGCUGAUGUUAAAGGGCAACAUCUGAGCUCAGGGGAAAAUGCGUCUGACUCUUCAGUGAUUGAAUUGGAGAAGGUGAAGAUGGAGAUGAAGAUGAUGGAAGCUGCAUUGCAAGGUGCUGCAAGACAGGCCCAGGCAAAAGCUGAUGAGAUUGCAAAGUUUAUGAAUGAAAAUGAACAAUUAAAAUCUGCGAUCGAGGAUUUGAAGAUGUUCACAUAUUAACUGGUGAAAAUAAUUGAACAGAGAAAAUCCAAUG